ACAUUUAAGGGACAAUAUUACAAGUUUUAAACACAUUCUUAAAAAAUUCUUACUUAUAACAGUUUAUUUAAGGGUUAUAACAUAUUACUUAAAUUUAACUUUAUUUAAAAUUAAUUAAAGAUUUAUUUAAAAAUGAUUAAUCUCUUUGUAUUUUUAUAUUAUUAAUUAUUAAUAGCUAGCUAAUAUAAUUUCAGUUCCUUUUUUAAAAUCGAAAUUAUCAGUUACACGAAUUUAGGGAUUUACAUUGAUUAGACUUCCUUUUUUACCGUUACACUCCAAUUACCUCAUACACCAAUCACAAUUCCCGCCCACCCAAGCCUAUCAGUUUAUACGCCACCACCCCACUACCCCCAUAUUCACAAUUUUCACUCCCAUCUUCCUCACCACUCCACCAUCACAUUCACAACCGUCCAUCCAAUCCUUCUCACAACCACAAUCGUCACUCUUGUUACGUUUUUCAUCAUCAGCAUGUCUAAGAAACACACUGAAACUCCUCGAAAGAGUGCAAGAUCUGUUGAAGGAACUUAUAUUCAUGAAGAUCAUGUUCCAACUUUCAAUAUAUUAACUCAAACCCCCCCGCCUAAAAGGGCUGAAAUUCCGGCGGCGUGUGGUUCAUCUCGGUUGAAAGAUAAAAAAGAAAAAA
rnacentral:lncRNA from 1 species